rnacentral:misc_RNA from 1 species
UUUCCGUAGGUGAACCUGCGGAAGGAUCAUUAUUGUAUAACCGAGGUGCGAGAGCUGUCGCUGAACCGGCAGGUCGUGCACGCCCGAGGGCCCUCACACGCAUCCAUCUCUCCCCUAUGUGCACCACCGCGUGGGUCCCCCUUUGGCUUGUUCGGAGGGGGGCUUACGUUUUCACACAAACAUUGUAUGCAGUGUAGAAUGUAUUUUUUGUUUUUGCGAUCACGCAAUCAAUACAACUUUCAACAACGGAUCUCUUGGCUCUC